UCACUGUCAUUUAGGAGUUAAAUUACUUUGUUUCUGUUUAUGCAGCCCUAGCCACACCUCCCCUGGCUAUCAUUGAGAGAGCCUGCAUGAAAAAAAAAAAAAACUAGUUUCACUUUCAAACAGAUGUAAUUUACCUUAAAUAAUUGUAUCUCAAUCUCUAAAUUGAACUUUAAUCACAAACAGGAGGCUCUUGCAGGGUCUAGCAAGC
rnacentral:lncRNA from 1 species